GACAGAGGCCUCAAGCGUUAGGCGGAAUCACUGGGCUUAAAGCGUGUGUAGGCGGAUCGUUAAGUGUCUUGUGAAAUCCCACGGCUCACCCGUGGAACUGCUGGGCAUACUGGCGAUCUUGGGCCAACUAGGGGCAACUGGAACAAGCGGUGGAGCGGUGAAAUGCGUAGAUAUCGCUUGGAACGCCAAAGGUGAGAACAGGUUGCUGGGGUUGUGCCGACGCUGAGACACGAAAGCCAGGGGAGCAAACGGG
rnacentral:rRNA from 1 species